CAUGUAUAGUGCUGUCUAGCAAUAUUUAGAAUUUAUAUGGUGCAAUUAGAGAUGUAUUCAUAAUUGCAGUUUCUAUGAAUCCUGUUAAAUUAAAAGUGACUUCCUCUUUAAUUAUAAUUGUGUUCAGUCUUGCAGUCCUGGCACAGUAAAGGCACACAUUGCAUUGGAGAAGUAGCAAUAUUGGGGGAGAUGCAUCAGUGUUCUUUAAAAG